UCUCCUUGCGGCGCUACACUAGAGCAGAGUACGAGUCUGAGGCGGAGGGAGUCAUGGCAGGACAAGCGUUUAGAAAGUUUCUUCCACUCUUUGACCGAGUAUUGGUUGAAAGGAGUGCUGCUGAAACUGUAACCAAAGGAGGCAUUAUGCUUCCAGAAAAAUCUCAAGGAAAAGUAUUGCAAGCAACAGUAGUCGCUGUUGGAUCGGGUUCUAAAGGAAAGGGUGGAGAGAUUCAACCAGUUAGCGUGAAAGUUGGAGAUAAAGUGCUUCUGCCAGAGUAUGGAGGCACCAAAGUAGUUUUAGAUGACAAGGAUUAUUUCCUAUUUAGAGAUGGUGACAUUCUUUGA